AGUAGCUCCUUGCUAGAGCAAGGAGACCUCCAACGCGAACUUUGGCGGAUAGACAAGGAUGAGUUUAGCUCUUCAUUUGCAACCAUGCGAUUCAACCUUGUCCAACUGUUUUCUCAGAAGCCGCAAAACACUAAACUACGGAAGUUGGUAGUUGAUCUUGAGGCUCCCAGGUUUGAUAGUGGAGGAUUGUUCAGCCAAGACC